rnacentral:rRNA from 1 species
UACGUAGGGUCCGAGCGUUGUCCGGAAUUAUUGGGCGUAAAGGGCCCGUAGGCGGUUUGUCGCGUCGGGAGUGAAAACUCAGGGCUCAACCCUGAGCGUGCUUCCGAUACGGGCAGACUAGAGGUAUGCAGGGGAGAACGGAAUUCCUGGUGUAGCGGUGAAAUGCGCAGAUAUCAGGAGGAACACCGAUGGCGAAGGCAGUUCUCUGGGCCGUAACUGACGCUGAGGCGCGAAAGCCAGGGGAGCAAACGGG